GGAAUACCGAUGGCGAAGGCAGCCACCUGGGUCAACACUGACGCUCAUGUACGAAAGCGUGGGGAGCAAACGGGAUUAGAUACCCCGGUAGUCCACGCCGUAAACGAUGUCUACUAGAAGCUCGGGUCCUCGGACUUGUUUUUCAAAGCUAACGCAUUAAGUAGA
rnacentral:rRNA from 1 species